rnacentral:rRNA from 1 species
UACGAAGGGUGCAAGCGUUAAUCGGAAUUACUGGGCGUAAAGCGCGCGUAGGUGGUUCGUUAAGUUGGAUGUGAAAGCCCCGGGCUCAACCUGGGAACUGCAUCCAAAACUGGCGAGCUAGAGUACGGUAGAGGGUGGUGGAAUUUCCUGUGUAGCGGUGAAAUGCGUAGAUAUAGGAAGGAACACCAGUGGCGAAGGCGACCACCUGGGCUAAUACUGACACUGAGGUGCGAAAGCGUGGGGAGCAAACAGG